rnacentral:rRNA from 1 species
CACGAACCGGGCAAACGUUAUUCGGAAUUACUGGGCUUAAAGGGUGCGUAGGCUGCGCUAUAAGUCGGGUGUGAAAUCCCUCAGCUCAACUGAGGAACUGCGCCCGAUACUGUAGUGCUUGAGGAGGAUAGAGGUGAGCGGAACUAGCAGUGGAGCGGUGAAAUGCGUUGAUAUUGCUGGGAACACCCGUGGCGAAAGCGGCUCACUGGGUCCUUUCUGACGCUGAGGCACGAAAGCUAGGGGAGCGAACGGGAUUAGAUACCCCGGUAGUCCUAGCCGUAAACGAUGAGCACUAGAUCGGGGAGACCUCCACAUCUUCCCGAUCGUAGCGAAAGUGUUAAGUGCUCCGCCUGGGGAGUAUGGUCGCAAGGCUGAA